UACGGAGGGUGCAAGCGUUAAUCGGAUUUACUGGGCGUAAAGCGCGCGUAGGCGGUUACGUAAGUCGGGUGUGAAAGCCCCGGGCUCAACCUGGGAAUUGCAUUCGAUACUGCGUGGCUAGAGUUUGGGAGAGGGAAGUGGAAUUCCGGGUGUAGCGGUGAAAUGCGUAGAUAUCCGGAGGAACACCAGUGGCGAAGGCGACUUCCUGGCCCAAAACUGACGCUGAGGUGCGAAAGCGUGGGGAGCAAACAGG
rnacentral:misc_RNA from 1 species